AGUGAACGCUGGCGGCGUGCCUAACACAUGCAAGUCGAACGAUGAAGUCCUUCGGGAUGGAUUAGUGGCGCACGGGUGAGUAUACCAUAGAUAAUGUACCUCUUAGUUCGGGAUAGCCACUGGAAACGGUGAUUAAUACCGGAUACUCCUUCUCAUUAUAAGAUGAGUCGGGAAAGUUUUUUCGCUAAGAGAUCAGUCUAUGUCCUAUCAGCUAGUUGGUGAGGUAAUGGCUCACCAAGGCUAUGACGGGUAUCUGGUUGAGAGGAUGAUCAGACACACUGGAACUGAGACACGGUCCAGACUCCUACGGGAGGCAGCAGUGAGGAAUAUUGCACAAUGGAGGAAACUCUGAUGCAGCAACGCCGCGUGGAGGAUGACGCAUUUCGGUGUGUAAACUCCUUUUAAGAGGGAAGAUAAUGACGGUACCUCUCGAAUAAGCACCGGCUAACUCCGUGCCAGCAGCCGCCGUAAGAC
rnacentral:rRNA from 1 species